rnacentral:misc_RNA from 1 species
AACGCACGAGACCUGCGGACCUGCGGAAGGAUCAUUACAGAGUUGCAAAACUCCCUAACCCUUGUGAACAUACCUGUACGUCGUUGCUUCGGCGGGUAGCCCCUUUACGGGGCCUCGACCUCCCAGCGAGGUUGCCCGCCGGAGGACCACACAAAACUCUUGAAUUAAUGGCUUCUCUGAGUAUUAAUCAAAUAAGUUAAAACUUUCAACAAUGGAUCUCU